rnacentral:tRNA from 1 species
ACCUGGCUGGCUCAGUCAGUAGAGCAUGUGACUCUUGAUCUUGGGGUUGUGAGUUCGAGCCCCAUGUUGGGUG